UACGGAGGAUUCGAGCGUUGUCCGGAUUUAUUGGGUUUAAAGGGUGCGUAGGCGGAUUAUUAAGUCAGAGGUGAAAGCCGACAGCUCAACUGUCGAAUUGCCUUUGAAACUGAUAAUCUUGAAUAUAGUUGAGGUAGGCGGAAUGUGACAUGUAGCGGUGAAAUGCGCAGAUAUCAGGAGGAACACCGGUGGCGAAGGCGGGUCUCUGGGCCGAUACUGACGCUGAGGAGCGAAAGCGUGGGGAGCGAACAGG
rnacentral:rRNA from 1 species